rnacentral:rRNA from 1 species
GGGUUGUGAGGUUAAGCGACUAAGCGUACACGGUGGAUGCCCUGGCAGUCAGAGGCGAUGAAGGACGUGCUAAUCUGCGAAAAGCGUCGGUAAGGUGAUAUGAACCGUUAUAACCGGCGAUGUCCGAAUGGGGAAACCCAGUGCAAUUCGUUGCACUAUCGUUAACUGAAUACAUAGGUUAACGAGGCGAACCGGGGGAACUGAAACAUCUAAGUACCCCGAGGAAAAGAAAUCAACCGAGAUUCCCCCAGUAGCGGCGAGCGAACGGGGAGCAGCCCAGAGUCUGAAUCAGCUUGUGUGUUAGUGGAACGGUCUGGAAAGUCCGACGGUACAGGGUGAUAGUCCCGUACACCAAAAUGCACAGGUUGUGAACUCGAAGAGUAGGGCGGGACACGUGGUAUCCUGUCUGAAUAUGGGGGGACCAUCCUCCAAGGCUAAAUACUCCUGACUGACCGAUAGUGAACCAGUACCGUGAGGGAAAGGCGAAAAGAACCCCGGCGAGGGGAGUGAAAAAGAACCUGAAACCGUGUACGUACAAGCAGUGGGAGCACCUUCGGGUGUGACUGCGUACCUUUUGUAUAAUGGGUCAGCGACUUAUAUUCUGUAGCAAGGUUAACCGUAUAGGGGAGCCGCAGGGAAACCGAGUCUUAACUGGGCGUUAAGUUGCAGGGUAUAGACCCGAAACCCGGUGAUCUAGCCAUGGGCAGGUUGAAGGUUGGGUAACACUAACUGGAGGACCGAACCGACUAAUGUUGAAAAAUUAGCGGAUGACUUGUGGCUGGGGGUGAAAGGCCAAUCAAACCGGGAGAUAGCUGGUUCUCCCCGAAAGCUAUUUAGGUAGCGCCUCGUGAACUCAUCUUCGGGGGUAGAGCACUGUUUCGGCUAGGGGGUCAUCCCGACUUACCAACCCGAUGCAAACUACGAAUACCGAAGAAUGUUAUCACGGGAGACACACGGCGGGUGCUAACGUCCGUCGUGAAGAGGGAAACAACCCAGACCGCCAGCUAAGGUCCCAAAGUCAUGGUUAAGUGGGAAACGAUGUGGGAAGGCACAGACAGCCAGGAUGUUGGCUUAGAAGCAGCCAUCAUUUAAAGAAAGCGUAAUAGCUCACUGGUCGAGUCGGCCUGCGCGGAAGAUGUAACGGGGCUAAACCAUGCACCGAAGCUGCGGCAGCGACACUAUGUGUUGUUGGGUAGGGGAGCGUUCUGUAAGCCUGCGAAGGUGACCUGUGAGGGUUGCUGGAGGUAUCAGAAGUGCGAAUGCUGACAUAAGUAACGAUAAAGCGGGUGAAAAGCCCGCUCGCCGGAAGACCAAGGGUUCCUGUCCAACGUUAAUCGGGGCAGGGUGAGUCGACCCCUAAGGCGAGGCCGAAAGGCGUAGUCGAUGGGAAACAGGUUAAUAUUCCUGUACUUGGUGUUACUGCGAAGGGGGGACGGAGAAGGCUAUGUUAGCCGGGCGACGGUUGUCCCGGUUUAAGCAUGUAGGCUGAUUGUCCAGGCAAAUCCGGAUAAUCAAGGCUGAGGUGUGAUGACGAGGCACUACGGUGCUGAAGUAACAAAUGCCCUGCUUCCAGGAAAAGCCUCUAAGCAUCAGGUAACAUCAAAUCGUACCCCAAACCGACACAGGUGGUCAGGUAGAGAAUACCAAGGCGCUUGAGAGAACUCGGGUGAAGGAACUAGGCAAAAUGGUGCCGUAACUUCGGGAGAAGGCACGCUGGUGUGUAGGUGAAG